ACAGUCGUCACUGCGGCGGCCGCUCGCCGCCCCAGAGCACUUUGGGAGUCGUAGUUUUCUGAGUUACUUCAUACUGGCCCGAAUAAGAGAGAUGGAUGGGUGACUAAAACUACAACUCCCCGAAUGCCCCGCGGCUCAACUCGCGCUGUGUGGCGGGAGAGGCCUCCGAGGCCCCGCCUCCUCCGGCCGGGGGAGGGAGCGUUCCCGCGGAUGGGUAUGGCGAAUUGUUGGCACCUGAAUGGCUAAGUCUUUACCAUAAAACAAGAUCGCAAGCCAGAAAGUAACAGAUGAAAUAAUAAAGACUGGAUCAUUUUGUUAGAUUUUACACAGUUUCAUGUACAGAAGGCUAUAGGACUAUUUUGCCACAUUCUAAAUAACAACUUUAAAAUCAGAGACUUGAAAUCUAUAGAAGUCCAGUAUAUUCUGAAGAACAAAGGGAAUGUGGAAAUGAAAGAGAGAGGGAGAGAGAGGCUGGCAGAUGUAAUGAGACGCGGUGAAGGUGUACGCAGACUGGCACUCCCACUCCUCCUUUCUGCUCUCACUGCAGCCCCGGGUAACUCGCAGGCUAACACAAACAGCGUUCCUCCCGCAGCCUGCCCUCUGUCACUGUCACUUUCAUGAAUUCAAAGGCAAUUUACCAGUGAAUUCUGGGUGCUGGGGCUGAUUUUUUUGUGCAUAUUUAAGAAUGUCUUCCAAGCAAGCCACCUCUCCAUUUGCUUGUGCAGUUGAUGGAGAGGAAGCGAUGACCCAGGAUUUGACCUCACGGGAGAAGGAAGAAGGCAGUGAUCAACAUGUGGCCUCCCAUCUGCCUCUGCACCCCAUAAUGCACAACAAACCUCACUCUGAGGAGCUACCAACACUUGUCAAUACCAUUCAACAAGAUGCUGACUGGGACAGCGUUCUGUCAUCUCAGCAAAGAAUGGUGAGAUUUAAAGAUCUGGCUACUGCUACUAAGUGUGUUCCUUAGUAUGUCCUUAUAAAAUA